AUGCGCCAGCCUUCCCAAAUUCCUGAAUGUGAUAAAUCACUUUAGCUUAAUGAAACAAAGAGUACACGUUAAUAACAUAUUAAAGUGAAUAAAAAGCAAACACAGCUCAAAAAACUAAUACAUUUAACAGAUUAUUUGACUAGUGAAGGUCAGGCCCCAGAAUAUAUAAUCCAUAAAAUUCUAUCAUAUGCAGGAAAAAGGUGGAUAAGUAUAAUAUAUCAUAGCUCUAGAAUCAUCAUAUCCAGGUUGACUCAGGAAUCUGAAGCAGAUUAGUAAUACCAUGCUGAGGUUUGCCAAGUUGGCAUUAUAACAAAAACAAAAUACUUUGUAUUGCCUAAGCAUUUUGGAACUAUGAAUGGAUACUAA
rnacentral:misc_RNA from 1 species